rnacentral:rRNA from 1 species
ACAUGCAAGUCGAGGGGCAUCAGUUUGGUUUGCUUGCAAACCAAAGCUGGCGACCGGCGCACGGGUGAGUAACACGUAUCCAACCUGCCUCAUACUCGGGGAUAGCCUUUCGAAAGAAAGAUUAAUACCCGAUAGUAUAAUGAAACCGCAUGGUCUUAUUAUUAAAGAAUUUCGGUUAUCGAUGGGGAUGCGUUCCAUUAGUUUGUUGGGGGGGUAACGGCCCACCAAGACUACGAUGGAUAGGGGUUCUGAGAGGAAGGUCCCCCACAUUGGAACUGAGACACGGUCCAAACUCC